UGUGUGGGCCCGGAUGUGUGGGUCAGGAUAUGUGGGUCAGUGGGGCCGUGUGGGUCAGUCUGUGUGGGUCAGGAUGUGUGGGUCAGUGUGGCUGUGUGGGUCAGGCUGUGUGGGUCAGGCCAUGUGGGUCAGGAUGUGUGGGUCAGUGGGGCUGUGUGGGUCAGGAUAUGUGGGUCAGUGUGGCUGUGUGGGUCAGGCCGUGUGGGUCAGGCUGUGUGGGUCCGGAUGUGUGGGUCAGGAUGUGUGGGUCAGGAUAUGUGGGUCAGGAUGUGUGGGUCAGUGGGGACGUGUGGGUCAGUCUGUGUGGGUCAGUCUGUGUGGGUCAGUCUGUGUGGGUCCGGAUAUGUGGGUCCGGAUGUGUGGGUCAGUGUGGCUGUGUUGGUCCGGAUGUGUGGGUCAGUGUGGCUGUGUGGGUCAGGCCGUGUGGGUCAGUCUGUGGGUCCGGAUGUGUGGGUCAGUGUGGCUGUGUGGGUCCGGAUGUGUGGGUCAGGAUAUGUGGGUCAGUGGGGAUGUGUGGGUCCGGAUGUGUGGGUCAGGAUGUGUGGGUCAGUGGGGAUGUGUGGGUCAGUCGGGAUAUGUGGGUCAGGCCGUGUGGGUCAGUGUGUGGGUCAGUCCGUGUGGGUCAGGCCAUGUGGGUCAGGAUAUGUGGGUCAGUGGGGCUGUGUGGGUCCGGAUGUGUGGGUCCGGAUGUGUGGGUC
rnacentral:lncRNA from 1 species